CGGUUGAUCCUGCCGGACCCCACUGCUAUCGGGAUAGGACGAAGACAUGCGUGUCGAGCGCUUGCCAACCUGAUAGCUUGGAAGCGCGGCAGCCAUCUCAGUAACACGUGGCUAACCUAUCCUUAGGACGAGGAUAUCCCCGGGGAACUGGGGAUAAUCCUCGAUAGGUGGAGACCUCUGGAAUGAGUCUCCACCUAAAGGGCGCCUACGUCAUGCUCGUAGGCGCCGCCCAAGGAUGGGGCCGCGACCGAUCAGGUAGUUGGUGAGGCAACGGCUCACCAAGCCUUUGACCGGUGCGGGCCGUGAGAGCGGGAGCCCGGAGAUGGGCACUGAGACAAGGGCCCAGGCCCUACGGGGCGCAGCAGUCGCGAAAACUUUGCAAUACACGAAAGUGUGACAAGGCUAUCCCGAGUGCCGUCCGCUGAGGAAGGCUUUUACCCAGUUUAGUAAGCUGGGAGAAUAAGGAGAGGGCAAGUCUGGUGUCAGCCGCCGCGGUAAUACCAGCUCUCCGAGUGGUGUGGACGUUUAUUGGGCCUAAAGCAUCCGUAGCCGGCUGAGUUAGUCCCCUGUUAAAUCCACCGAAUUAAUCGUUGGAGUGCGGGGGAUACUGCUCAGCUAGGGGACGGGAGAGGCAGACGGUAUUUCCGGGGUAGGGGUGAAAUCCUAUAAUCCCGGAAAGACCACCAGUGGCGAAGGCUGUCUGCUAGAACGCGCCCGACGGUGAGGGAUGAAAGCUGGGGGAGCGAACCGGAUUAGAUACCCGGGUAGUCCCAGCUGUAAACGAUGCAGGCUAGGUGUUUGGACGGCUACGUGCCGUUCUAGUGCCGCAAGGAAGCUGUUAAGCCUGCCGCCUGGGGAGUACGAUCGCAAGAUUGAAACUUAAAGGAAUUGGCGGGGGAGCAC
rnacentral:rRNA from 1 species